rnacentral:rRNA from 1 species
CCUACGGGAGGCAGCAGUGGGGAAUAUUGCGCAAUGGGCGAAAGCCUGACGCAGCAACGCCGCGUGGGGGAUGAAGGCCUUCGGGUUGUAAACCUCUUUCAGCAGGGAAGAAGCGAAAGUGACGGUACCUGCAGAAGAAGCACCGGCUAACCACGUGCCAGCAGCCGCGGUAAUACGUAGGGUGCAAGCGUUGUCCGGAUUUAUUGGGCGUAAAGAGCUCGUAGGCGGUUAGUCACGUCGGAUGUGAAAUCCCGGAGCUUAACUCCGGGCCUGCAUUCGAUACGGGCUGACUCGAGUGUUGUAGGGGAGACUGGAACUCCUGGUGUAGCGGUGAAAUGCGCAGAUAUCAGGAAGAACACCGGUGGCGAAGGCGGGUCUCUGGGCAACUACUGACGCUGAGGAGCGAAAGCGUGGGGAGCAAACAGGAUUAGAUACCCUGGUAGUCCACGCCGUAAACGGUGGGCGCUAGGUGUGGGGAACAUUCCACGUUCUCUGCGCCGCAGCUAACGCAUUAAGCGCCCCGCCUGGGGAGUACGGCCGCGAAGGCUAAAACUCAAAGGAAUUGACGGCUUGAGAGUUGCGAGCGACGACGAGGGAGAGG